CGAAAGCCUGACGGAGCAAUACCGCGUGAGGGAGGAAGGCCUUUGGGUUGUAAACCUCUUUUCUCAGGGAAGAAGUUCUGACGGUACCUGAGGAAUAAGCAUCGGCUAACUCCGUGCCAGCAGCCGCGGUAGUACGGAGGAUGCAAGCGUUAUCCGGAAUUAUUGGGCGUAAAGCGUCCGCAGGUGGUCUUUCAAGUCUGCUGUUAAAGACCAGAGCUUAACUCUGGGCAGGCGGUGGAAACUGGAAGACUAGAGUUCGGUAGGGGUAGCGGGAAUCCCCAGUGUAGCGGUGAAAUGCGUAGAUAUUGGGAAGAACAUCGGUGGCGAAGGCGCGCUACUGGACCGAAACUGACACUCAGGGACGAAAGCUAGGGUAGCGAAAGGAAUUAGAUACCCCUGUAGUCCUAGCUGUAAACGAUG
rnacentral:rRNA from 1 species